GCACGAAGCUGGAAUCGCCAGUAAUCGCGGAUCAGAAUGCCGCGGUGAAUACGUUCCCGGGUCUUGUACACACCGCCCGUCACACCAUGGGAGUCGGAAAUGCCCGAAGCCGGUGACCCAACCAAAAGGAGGGAGCCGUCGAAGGCAGGUCCGGUAACUGGGGUGAAGUCGUAACAAGGUAAC
rnacentral:rRNA from 1 species